rnacentral:snRNA from 1 species
GUACUUACCUGGACGGGGUCAAUGGGCGAUCAAGGAGGCCCAUGGCCUAGGCUGGUGACUUCCUUUGCACUUUGGAAGGGUGCCCGCCUAAGGUCGGCCCAAGUAAAAAAAACAAAGAUUAGUUAGUACCCUGCAUUGCAUCUUCC